GCUGAAUAGCUAGCUUGAACAUCUAAGUAAAACAGAACCUAUAAAUACCCAUCUAAUUAACAUAUAAACAAAACAUUUACCCUCCCCAGUAUAGGUGAUAGAAAAGGAACAAUUAAGCAAUAGAAAAAGUACCGCAAGGGAAAGCUGAAAGAGAAGUGAAACAACCCGUUAAAGCAUAAGAAAGCAGAGAUUAAUUCUCGUACCUUUUGCAUCAUGAUUUAGCAAGUACAAUCAAGCAAAGAGAACUUCAGUUUGAAACCCCGAAACUAGACGAGCUACUCCGGGGCAGCCUAUGUAGGGCCAACCCGUCUCUGUGGCAAAAGAGUGGGAAGACCCCCGAGUAGAGGUGAUAAACCUAUCGAGCCUAGUUAUAGCUGGUUGCUUAGGAAAUGAAUAUUAGUUCAGCCCUACUUGUUCCCCGAUCACAUUUAUGUAUAAGAAUAAGAGUUACCCGUAGGAGUUAGUCAAAGGAGGUACAGCUCCUUUGAAAAAGAACACAACCUUGACAGGAGGAUAAAGAUCAUAACAAAUUAAGGUAACUUCCUCAGUGGGCCUAAAAGCAGCCAACUGUUUGUAGAAAGCGUUAAAGCUCAGGCAGAUCGCCUCCCACAAUUUCGACAUCAAAUCAAAAUCCCCUAGUGUUACUAAGCCAUUCUAUGACCCAUAGAAGAGAUAAUGCUAAAAUGAGUAAUAAGAAGGACUGACCUUCUCCCUGCGCACCUGUAUGUCAGAUUGGACCAACCACUGAUAAAUACCGAACCCCUUAAUAGAGGGCAUCAUUUUACAAUGAAUAAAGAUCGAGGAAACCCAAUGAAAUAAAUCGUUGACCCAACACAGGAGCACAAAAAGGAAAGACAUAAAGAGAGAGAAGGAACUCGGCAAACCCGAGCCUCGCCUGUUUACCAAAAACAUCGCCUCCUGCUAAAAAAGAAGUAUUGGAGGUCCCGCCUGCCCAGUGACAAAAAGUUAAACGGCCGCGGUAUUCUGACCGUGCUAAGGUAGCGUAAUCACUUGUCUUUUAAAUGAAGACCCGUAUGAAUGGCAUCACGAGGGCUCAGCUGUCUCCUCUCUUUAGUCAAUGAAAUUGAUCUGCCCGUGCAGAAGCGGACAUGAUAACAUAAGACGAGAAGACCCUAUGGAGCUUAAGACAAAGGGCCAACCAUGUUAAACUACUAGUAAACCGACCGGGUUAAGAAGUAAUCAAGCUCUGUGGUACAUGGCCGGAAUGUCUUCGGUUGGGGCGACCUCGGAGGAAAACCAAGCCUCCGCGUGGAAUGGGGGUAAUGACCUUCCCCUAGAACUAAGAACCACAAAUCUAAGUAGCAAAAAUUUUGACCAUUAAUGACCCGGAAUAAAUCCGAUCAACGAACCAAGUUACCCUAGGGAUAACAGCGCAAUCCCUUCCCAGAGUCCAUAUCGACGAAGGGGUUUACGACCUCGAUGUUGGAUCAGGACAUCCUAAUGGUGCAGCCGCUAUUAAGGGUUCGUUUGUUCAACGAUUAAAGUCCUACGUGAUCUGAGUUCAGACCGGAGAAAUCCAGGUCGGUUUCUAUCUAUGACGUAACUUCUCCUAGUACGAAAGGGCCGGAGCAGUGGGGCCCCUGCCAAAAGCAAGCCUCUCCCCCACCUGGUGAAAACAAAUAAAACAGGUAAAGGGGCACACCAAGUCAACCGAAAAUAACGAAAC
rnacentral:rRNA from 1 species